rnacentral:misc_RNA from 1 species
UUGUGGAGGAGGACGCCGAAGGUGGGGCUAAUGACUGGGGUGAAGUCGUAACAAGGUAGCCGUACCGGAAGGUGCGGCUGGAUCACCUCCUAACAGGGAGACAACAAAAUGUUUAAUAUUAUUAUUUUGUCACCUUAGGUCGAUCGGUAUCUCACGUUUUUAAUUUAUUAAGAAUUUCAUUUCCUAAGUUUUUCUAGGUCACACCCAUUAUUUUUCCUGGGCCAUUAGCUCAGGUGGUUAGAGCGCACCCCUGAUAAGGGUGAGGUCCCUGGUUCAAGUCCAGGAUGGCCCAUAUCUCUAUGUUGGGGGUAUAGCUCAGUUGGUAGAGCGCCUGCUUUGCAAGCAGGAUGUCAGCGGUUCGAGUCCGCUUACCUCCACUGAUUACCACCUCUUCCAUAAUUUAUAGAAGGAAAAUGUUUUGAGUCGUGAUCAAAUUCUGAACGAUUCUAGCUUCCUAAUGAAAUCAUUAAGAUGCUGGACUCAUUGAAUUAAUUUCAUUGUUUUCAGAGAACCUUGACAACUGCAUAGAUUAUUUUUAAAGACAAUAAGCAUCUUUAAUGAUGCAGAUUUAUUAUUUGUGCGAAUGCAUUAAUAACAAUUCUAUUAAGCUGAUGCUUCAAUUUUGAAGUUAUUGGUCAAGCUACAA